UUGGAGGGCAAGUCUGGUGCCAGCAGCCGCGGUAAUUCCAGCUCCAAUAGCGUAUAUUAAAGUUGUUGCAGUUAAAAAGCUCGUAGUUGAAUUUCGGGGUUAGCAGGUUGGUCGUGCCACUGGUAUGUACUGGCCUUGCUGAUUCCUCCCUCUUGAUGAGCCGUAAUGCCAUUAAUUUGGUGUUGCGAGGAAUCAGGACUGUUACUUUGAAAAAAUUAGAGUGUUUAAAGCAGGCAAGCGCUGAAUACAUUAGCAUGGAAUAAUGAAAUAGGACGUUUGAUCUUAUUUUGUUGGUUUCUAAGAUUGACGUAAUGAUUAAUAGGGAUAGUUGGGGGCAUUAGUAUUCAAUUGUCAGAGGUGAAAUUCUUGGAUUUAUUAAAGACGAACUACUGCGAAAGCAUUUGCCAAGGAUGUUUUCAUUAAUCAAGAACGAAAGUUAGGGGAUCGAAGACGAUCGGAUACCGUCGUAGUCUUAACCAUANACUAUGCCGACUAGGGAUCGGAUGAUGUUAAUUUUUUAAUGACUCAUUCGGCGCCUUACGGGAAAC
rnacentral:rRNA from 1 species